GACAGAGGGUGCAAACGUUGCUCGGAAUCACUGGGCGUAAAGGGCGUGUAGGCGGGUAGAUAAGUCGGGCGUGAAAUCCCUAGGCUCAACCUAGGAACUGCACUCGAAACUGUUUAUCUUGAGUGCCGGAGAGGAAAGCGGAAUUCCUGGUGUAGAGGUGAAAUUCGUAGAUAUCAGGAGGAACACCAGUGGCGAAGGCGGCUUUCUGGA
rnacentral:rRNA from 1 species